UGUUGUAAGUGUUUAAGGGCGUUCGGUGGAUGCCUUGGCACCAGGAGCCGAUGAAGGACGUGGUAGGCCGCGAUAGUCCUCGGGGAGUUGUCAAACGAGCUGUGAUCCGAGGGUGUCCGAAUGGGGAAACCCAGCACGAGUGAUGUCGUGUUACCCACCUGUGAAUGUAUAGCGGGUGUGGAGGGAACGUGGGGAAGUGAAACAUCUCAGUACCCAUAGGAAGAGAAAACAAUUGUGAUUCCGUGAGUAGUGGCGAGCGAAAGCGGAGGAGGCUAAACCA
rnacentral:rRNA from 1 species